GACGUAGGGCGCGAGCGUUGUCCGGAUUUAUUGGGCGUAAAGAGCUCGUAGGCGGCUUGUCGCGUCGAAUGUGAAAACUCGGGGCUCAACUCCGAGCUUGCAUUCGAUACGGGCAGGCUAGAGUUCGGUAGGGGAGACUGGAAUUCCUGGUGUAGCGGUGAAAUGCGCAGAUAUCAGGAGGAACACCGGUGGCGAAGGCGGAUCUCUGGGCCUUACCUGACGCUGAGGAGCGAAAGCAUGGGGAGCAAACAGG
rnacentral:rRNA from 1 species